ACCGCGCUGAGCGUUUGGGGGUGGGCCCUCGGCUGCCCGCCCGGCGUUCAGAAAAACAAAUCACCUUACUCCGGGGGAAAUCACGGCCUCGCGAGGACCCGCCUUCGGUACUCGAUUGAGGAAGGACAUUAAUAAUGCUCUGCCAUCAACUACUUCACUACACACUUCAGAACAGAGCAGAUGACAUCAAGGAUCUGUGGGUAAACUGUAAAUGAAAAUCAGGAUUCUGCCCCCUAUGAGUUCAGUAUGUUGCUGUAUGAUUUUCGAAGAACUGCAACACAUAAUUAAUCAUGGCAAUUAAGAAGUUAUAAUUGCCUCUCUCUACCUUAUGAGAUAUAGUAGCACUGAUGAAUAUAAACCCUGGUAAUACAGACAUCAGUUAAAAUUCAUGGUCACCUUACGGAGUAACACCUAUGGAAGAGGUCCCAGCAAAGGCCCAGAAAAGGAUAAGGAGAAACUUAACCUCUAUGCCCCAAAUGAGGUCUGAGGAUUAUGAGUGGGUCUCUCCAUGGGCUCACAAUUUCUUCCCUGAGGAAAGUAAUAAAAGGAGUUAGAAGACCUUCGCCCCUUCUGAUAUUAACCCAGUCUGCUGGGAGAGGCUCUGCUGUAGAUGUUGAGCAAGUCCUUCAUCAUUUACUCUCACCUCUGAAACUCCAAACCAUUUGGAAAAUUAAAAAAUCCUACCUUUAAGUAGAGGGCAGAAGCAGUGCAGGUCCACAAGCCAUUGGAAAGCACGGCUUCCUUUAAGGAAAUUUGCAGACUUAGUUACCUCAUGAAAUACUGAACUGCACACCAAGUGAAGAGAUGAGGAUGACCUCUUCUGCUCGUACUCCCACAGCUCCUGCCUGGCACCAAAGAAAAUAAAUUCCUCCACUGAGUGUUCUUCAUCCAGUCAAUCCUGCUUCUCCUUGGACAUAGCAUUACUGGGAAGGAAUUCAACCAAGCUAUAAAAAUAACCCAUCCCAACCUAUACCAACCCCCACCAACAGUCAAGUUCGUCAGUGUAAUUUGCCAGAAACUCUUCUGCCAAUUUAACCUCCUCAUUCCUACAGCUCUGAGCUAUCAUUCCUGGCACUCUUUGCAGACUUCUUUCAUUUUUUAGAUUUCUGAUCAAAUACUACCUCCCAGAAAGGCCUUUCCUGCCCAUUCUAUGUAAAAUAACAAAAAUCCACUUCUCUGUCCUUUUCAUAUGCUUUAUUUUUCUUUGUAGCCCUCACCUUAUUUUUAAAUUAUUUGUCUCUUUGUACUAGAAUAUAAGCUCUUUGAGGCCCCCCUGGUGGCGGAGGCAGUUGAGCACAGCGCUGUGAAGCUGUCUGCAGCCUCUGCAGUGCCGGUUCUAUCCCCGCUGGCCUCCGAGCAACCCACAGGGCGAGCAACCCACAGGGCGAGCAGACCUCUCCUAUCUCUCCUGUUGCUCCCCUGAGCAGUAUAUUUCGUCAGUCUCCCCGUUCUGUUCCCCACUCUAUCUCUGGUGAAUCCUCUCACCCUCCUGCGCAUCUGGCCUGU